GGCUCAGAUUGAACGCUGGCGGCAUGCCUUACACAUGCAAGUCGAACGGCAGCACGGGUGCUUGCACCUGGUGGCGAGUGGCGAACGGGUGAGUAAUAUAUCGGAACGUACCUUAUCGUGGGGGAUAACGCAGCGAAAGCUGCGCUAAUACCGCAUACGCCCUGAGGGGGAAAGCGGGGGACCGUAAGGCCUCGCGCUCACGGAGCGGCCGAUGGCAGAUUAGGUAGUUGGUGGGAUAAAAGCUUACCAAGCCGACGAUCUGUAGCUGGUCUGAGAGGACGACCCAGCCACACUGGGACUGAGACACGGCCCAGACUCCUACGGGAGGCAGCAGUGGGGAAUUUUGGACAAUGGGCGCAAGCCUGAUCCAGCCAUGCCGCGUGCAGGAUGAAUGCCUUCGGGUUGUAAACUGCUUUUGUACGGAACGAAAAGACUCUGGUUAAUACCUGGGGUCCAUGACGGUACCGUAAGAAUAAGCACCGGCUAACUACGUG
rnacentral:rRNA from 1 species